rnacentral:rRNA from 1 species
ACGGGAGGCAGCAGUGGGGAAUAUUGGGCGAUGGGCGAAAGCCUGACCCAGCAACGCCGCGUGAAGGAAGAAGGCCUUCGGGUUGUAAACUUCUUUUGUCAGGGACGAAGGACGUGACGGUACCUGACGAAUAAGCAACGGCUAACUACGUGCCAGCAGCCGCGGUAAUACGAAGGUGGCAAGCGUUGUCCGGAUUUCCUGGGUGUAAAGGGCGUGUAGGCGGAUCUGCAAGUCAGAUGUGAAAUCCCGGGGCUCAACCCCGGAACUGAAUUUGAAACUGUAGACCUUGAGUAUCGGAGAGGCAAGCGGAAUUCCGAGUGUAGCGGUGAAAUGCGUAGAUAUUAGGAGGAACACCAGUGGCGAAGGCGGCUUGCUGGACGACAACUGACGCUGAGGCGCGAAAGCGUGGGGAGCGAACAGGAUUAGAUACCCUGGUA